ensembl:rRNA 5S_rRNA 5S ribosomal RNA
GUCUAUGGCCAUACCACCCUGAAUGCACUCAAUCUUGCCUGAUCUCAGAAGUGAAGCAGGGUGGGCCUGGUUAGUACUUGGAUGGGAGAGAAAAACUUUUUGUAGAGA